rfam:Parcubacteria bacterium GW2011_GWA2_47_8 TY09_C0010, whole genome shotgun sequence.
CGAUAACUAUAAACAACAUUGUAGUUACAAAACUUGGCUAUAUGCUGGGAUCUCCCACGUAUCCUGUAUUGGCAACGAUACCGGUGGGGACAAUCAGCAGGGAAGUCACGGUUUCGUGAAGGCGCGCAUAGUGUGCGUUGCACGUGUUGUGACCCCUCAGAGACUAUACGCCGAGCCCUUCUGUAAUAAUUGCGAUAACCGUCGUUAUGCAAGGGAUGAUAUAGUCCGACCCUUAUGGCGACAUAAGG